UACAUGGGGUGCAAACGUUGCUCGGAAUUAUUGGGCGUAAAGCGCACGUAGGCGGUUCGUUAAGUCGGAUGUGAAAGCCCUCGGCUCAACUGAGGAAGUGCACCCGAAACUGGCGAGCUUGAGUACGAAAGAGGAUCGCGGAAUUCCCGGUGUAGAGGUGAAAUUCGUAGAUAUCGGGAGGAACACCGGUGGCGAAGGCGGCGAUCUGGGAAGAUACUGACGCUGAGGUGCGAAAGCGUGGGGAGCAAACAGG
rnacentral:rRNA from 1 species